rfam:Rhizobium sp. RT36D genome assembly, contig: Ga0136764_124
AACAUUCGUCGCGGUGGGCGGCCGCUUCAUCUAUAGCGGCCCCUUCAAGCGAUGAUCUCGUUCAUCGACGAACACCGUGGUGUGUCCGGGGGCGAGCCGAUCUGCAGGCUACUGCCGAUUGCCCCA